AAAUUGUGGAGUUUGAAAUUCUACUGUGUUGACAAGUAGAAAAUUGAGAAAAGAUGUGGAGCCUUUUUUUUGUCAUUGGUAUAGAUGACAAAGAGACUCCAAAGUACAUCCUGUUGGUAGGGGUUAACUUGCAAAGUUCAGCACAUAAAUCUCAAUAAAUCUAAAGUUUCUAGCUAAGAAGACCACUGUAAUCUACUGUGCAAUUCUCCACACUGAGCUAUCUGAAGGACAGCUGCUUUCCACCCAAGAGACCAAGUAUCGAUGUAAUUUGGGACCUGACCUCUGAUUCAGAGGCAAAUGCUUAAAUGUCUUAAAUUUUUUUGAAGCUGAUCGGAGGACUUCCUUCAAAUUCAUAGAAGCCCUGUACCAUAUGUGUGAGGGGUGGGGUAGGGGUAGAGCAGGUGAUAUGUAUCUAUGCUCACCAAAGAUACAAUUACAAAUCAGACAUUUCUUCGAGGAAAGCAUAUAAUAAAAUGACUGAUGUAUAGGCCAUCAUUAAAAAUUUCAAGUGAAUGAAGUCAGGAUUUUGCAAAAAGACUUUCCUACUUGAUUUUACUAGCAACUCAAGUGUUCAGUAGCAAAGGCUUUUUAAUGUAUAUUAUACCACAUCUUCAUGAUAGAAUAAUAAGCAAUCAUUAAAAGUCUAAAAAAGGAAGUUUAUAAGUCAUGCAUACUUUUGGACUUGUCUGUUUUCAUUAUGCAUUAUAUUGUAAAUAAUUACAUGUCAACACUUUAGACUCGGUUCCUUAAAAAAUGAGUUACGUGACUUAGGACAUGUUAUUUGGUCUCAGUGAGCCUUAUUUCAUCCCGAAAUGUUAGGGUAACAGUAUAUCUACCCACUUCUCAGGAUUAUUGUAAUCAUGAAAGGAGAUUAAAUGUCAGAAAGUCCUAGCACAGAGCAUAGCAUGUAAAAAAAAUCUCAGUAAAUACUCUGUGGGUCAUGAUAGUAUGAGCUUUCAUUAAAGGAGUAUUAUUAGCAAAUUAUUUACUGUGUGCUGAUCCCAGUACCAUGAGGGAGACAAAACAGAUCUGAUAUUGUAAACUUAGUAGUAUGGGAGCCAUAUUUGAUCCAUUAGUGUGUUUCAUUUGGCCAGAAUGGUAAUGGUCCAAAAAGGUUGUUUUUUUUUUUCCAAUGUUCUUAAUUGAUUGCCUGCAUUGACAAUUAGAUUUCACUAAAAACAUUCAAAUUAUUAGUAUCUAGCAAAUAGCGGAGAAGACAAUGGCACCCCACUCCAGUACUCUUGCCUGGAAAAUCCCAUGGACGGAGGAGCCUGGUAGGCUGCAGUCCAUGGGGUCGCGAAGAGUCAGACACGACUGUGAGAAUUCACUUUCACUGUUCACUUUCACGCAUUGGAGAAGGAAAUGGCAACCCACUCCAGGGUUCUUGCCUGGAGAAUCCCACGGACCCAUGGACGGGGGAGCCUGGUGGGCUGCCGUCUAUGGGGUUGCACAGAGUCGGACACGACUAAAGUGACUUAGCAGCAGCAGCAAGACCCUGAUUCCCAUGUGGUAACACUAUCUGGUUGCUUUACCUACCUUCUCUGGCUUGCCACAGUCUCUACCACUCCCUAUAGGGCUGCCCCACUGUCAUUUAUCAGUACUGGUAGCCAUUUAUUACUGUUUCUUUCAGAGUAAAACUAAGAGCAAAGUGAAAUAUGUUUAUUGCUAUCAAGUGUGGAAUAAGGUAAGAUUGAUAAGGAUUCACUCUCAAGAAAAAUUCUUCUCACUCAGGUCUUUUUCACUCAAUAUGUGUUACCUACCUGACCCCAUAGGUGUUUGUAUGGAACCUGUAGCCUCUCAUAAAAUUCUAGAGCUAUAACAAACCAGCACUUUAGACCAGAUAAUCAUCUUUUCUUCAUUUUAUGCGUGAGUUAAGACCCCUCAGAGACAGUGACACGCCCAAGAUUUUAGUUAGAAACAAAUUUGAGGCUGAAUCACAUGUAGGGUGUUGUCUCUCUAUUUUUCAGACUUCUAAAAAUUUUAUUAUUUUUGUCUUAAUUUUUAAAUAAUGGAAAUUAGUGUCAAUUCUCUUCAGAGUAAACAAUCUCUCUAAUACGUCUUCCCUCUACAAAAUACAUAUGUAAUUCAUGACUUUUUAAAUGCAUAUUUUUAGCAUUUUUCCAAUAAUGUCAAGAAGCUUUUUAGUUCAAUAAGCUUUAGUUUUGUUGCAAUGCUCGUAGUGUUUUAAAAGACCAUUUGAAAAGUGCUGUACUUUGCAUUGAUGGUUUUCCUUUUUUUCAAGAAUGGAGAACCUGGAUAGAAUUUGUCCCUGAAGGCCAUGCAACCUUGAAACCUGCAUGUGGCGGUAGUUUGGGCGUUGUCGGUUGCAGAUGUGGUUGGCUCUUGACUACCUGUGAAACCAGAAGCCCCGUGAAUAAUAGAUUCAUGUAUGUGUCUGUAAUUACUUUCAACUAUUGAUUUCAAGCUUCUCCAAAACAUUACUGAAUACAAGUAACAAACAGCUGAAUUAAACCAUUUUACAAUACUUUUAUGUUCUUUUUCUUCCCCUCUCCAGUUUCUGGAAAGGGAACCAGCCCAAAGGAGUUGGAAAGCAGAUGACAUGGAUAAUUCACAAAUGACUCUAUCCUAAAUAAGUGAGAUAUAACUAGGAUGUAUAAAAACAAAAAGUUCUUUUGAGAUUUAUGGUGUGAUUGAGUUAAUUUAAAGAUAGGACAACAUAGCUAGUAAUUCAAUUAAGAAAACAGCACUUUAUAUUUUCCCUUUGGGAACAUUACCUUUUAUCAUUGGAUGUGAAACAGUUUUAUAUAGGAGAUUUUGGAUUAUAUUCAUUAUGAAACAAUCCUAAGCAUAAAUAGUUUUGGUUUCUAUUUCAAAGAUUCUUAGUAUUAUUUAGAUUAUAAGAAUAAUCUAUACUUAUUAUUAAAUAAGAAAAGUAUCUAAUGAUAAGAAAAACUACCCUUAACCCCAUCACACAGACUUAAAAUAUGAAUGUAUAUUUAGAAGCUUUUGUUCAGUGAGUUAAUACCACAGCUCAUGUCUUCAGAACUGUCCACAACUGGAGUUUUAGGUAUUAAAAAAAAAAAAAAAACUUCGAUGGAUUUUAGGAAUAGUCUAAUGCAAUACUAUGAUAAUUGUUGGAAGGGACAAGGGACACCCUGAAAAAAAAGUUCACAUCUAUGAAGGUUGAAGUCAUGGCCUAUCGAUCUUCAGUGACAAGACCAGCAGAGGGGAUGAAGGCAGAGGACCUUGGCUCACAGUAAGUGCUGUUCCUGAGAAAGAAGACAUGAAACAGAAGAGCUGUGUGGUCAGAGGCCUGGUGACCACGCAAUAAAGGCCACCUUCCAAGAGGACUGUGGGAUGAAACAGCAUUGUUACCAUGGACCCAGCCACUCUCCUAUGGAACCAUCAAAAACUGAGGCAAGGACAUACACAGAGAAGCCAUUUCUCCAUCAGUCAGAGAAGGAGACGGAGGUAGACUUUUAAGAAGUUCAAACGGCAUAGUCCCAAGGGCCGAGUGGGGAAGACCCAAUGGGAGAGCAGACCAGAGCAGAAAUAAGCAGUUUUGUUAUGCUAAUCACUCGAACUGAUGCUUUAAAUUCUGGUUCGGAAACCUCAUUGGGUAUCCAUCUUAUGAAGGGACUGUCCUUGGAAGAAAAUAUACCAAAUGAAUAAGACACAAUCCCCAGUAUCUGAGACUGAUACAGGAACAAUUAUGAUAAUGUGAUAAAUGCAAUAACGAUGUCAAACAAUAUAUGUUGGAAUUAACUCCAACAAAGAUGGGAAUCCAGGGUUAAAGAAUGCUUAUCAGAGAAGUCCUCAGGGCAAGAAAUUGAAAGAUAGAUGGAGCUCUGCCAGCUCAGAGAGACAGACAGAGGCAGUCCAGACAGAGAAAGCAGUUGAUGCAGCAUGCAGAGAAGACAGAUGUUUUUGCCAUGAUCAUCUGCAAGUUUGUCAGUCAAACAUUCUUCAAAAACACUGGCAUCUCCCCCGCAUUUUCCAUCCAAGGCUGUCAGUUCCUGUUGAGAAAGGUUAAUGGAGAUCUGGAGUCUCCAAGCCUCUGAUACAGAAGCAGCCCUUGCUGGCCUUUGAAUCUGCUGCCAGAAAGCAGAGCCUGCUUUGGAAUGUGGUGGAGAUAACCCACCACAGAAGAAAUCAUCAGUGGGCCAAAGAACUUGCUGCUAAUGUUGGCUUUUUGCCAUGGCCUCCAGACUGUGGAAGGAAGAAACUUUGUCUUUUUCCACCACUUCACUUGCUCUUUCCAGCUGGAGUUCACCCAGCCAAUUCAGACCCGAGGAAGGGAGCUGACCAAGCCAGCCCCUAUACUCACUUAGAAUAUAAAGUAAGCCACAAGGGUGGUUUUAAAUUUUCUAGUAGCCACACUAUUUUAUUUUAUUUAAAAAAUAAACAUGAAAUUAAUAACUUUAACAGCAUAUUUUUUGGACUUCCCUGGUGAUAACUGGAUGAGAACCUGCCUGCCAUUGCAGGGGACGUGGAUUCUAUCCCUGGUCCAGGAAGAUCCCACAUGCCACGGAGCAACGAAGUCUGUGUGCUACAACCACUGCACCCAUCCUUUAGAGCCCAUGAGCCACAAAUACUGAAGCCCCAACACCUAGAGCUGUGCUCCACAAUAAGAGAAGCCACUGCAAUGAGAUGCCCUAGUGCUGCAAGGAAGUGUAGUCCCUGCUCGCCGCAACAAGAGAAAGCCCAGGCAAAACAACAAAGAGCCAGAGCUGCCAAAAAUAAAAUAAAUUUUUCAAAAAUAGUAUAUUUUAAUCUAACAUAUCUAAAAUAUCAUUUCAAUGUUCAGUCAUUAGAAAAUUUAUUAAAAAGAUAUUUUACUUUUUUUAACUAACUCUUCAAAAUCUGUUAUUUUAUGCCCAGAGUAUAUUUCAAUUCAGACAUUAAGUUUCCAUUGGAAAAAGAUGUUCAGCUAUUUAGAUUUCAUUAAAUUAAUAACUGAAAAGAUAGAUUCACAAGUUGUUCUGAACAUAUUAAAAAAUGUUUUCAGAUAACUGAACCAAGUGUCAGUUUUUAAAAAUUAAUUGAAAUUAAAGUAUUCCAUUUCUUUGGUGCACUAGCCCACAUUUCAAGGGCUCAAUAGCAUGUGUAACUGAUGACUUCCAUACUGACAGCACAGAACUAUAGCCUUGCUACUGAAAGUGUGGCCUACCCACUAGCAUCAUCUGGGAUUUUCUUGGAAAUACAGAAUCCCGGGCCUCACCCCAGACUUACUGAAUCAGAAUCUACAGUUAGCAAGAUUUUCCAGUGAUUCAUAUGUAGAAUAUAGUUCAGGAAGCACUGAUCUACUUAAGACACCAGGAAAACUGGUAUUAUUGCAUCUAUUUUAUAGAGGUAUAUUGAGGCUCUUUUUAUACCCUUUAUACUGUUCAUGGGGUUCUCGCAGUAAGAAUACUGGAGUGGAAUGUUAUUCCCUCGUCCAGUGGACCACGUUUUGUCAGAGCUCUUCAUUACAACCCAUCCGUCUUGGGUGGCCCUGCGCAGCAUGGCUUAUUGCUUCAUUGAGUUAUGCAAGCCCCUUAGCCACAAAAAGGCAGUGAUCCAUGAAGGGCCAGGGAGGCCUGACAUGCUGCAGUCCAUGGGGUCGCAGAGAGUCAGACAUGACGUAGCAACUGAACAACAACAUCAUAUUGAGGCUCAGAGAGGUUGCAUAAUGUGUCUAAAGUCACAGAGCUCAUAAGUGUAGGAGCUAAAAUUCAGACUCAAAGCUUGCCCAUGUUUAAGCCCACACUCUUUCUAAUAUUUAUCACUCAAUGCAUGAAACAUGUUACUAAUGGCAUGAAAGGUCAUUUUAAAUGGUGCCCAGGAAGCAUUCUAAAAAGCACUGAAUACAAAGUGUGAAGGUUUGACCAUUUUCUGUCCUCUUUUAAGUUUUCUAAUAUGGUCAAAGAUAAAAUCUCUGAUUGAUGACAGUUUAUUUUCAAUACCUAACAUUUGCUGUAAGUGGGCCACAGCCUCAGAACUUUCAGUAAAGGAGGUCUUCAUAGCUUUGUUUCCUUCCGUUGUAUUUCUUCUUACUUCUACCAUCUAUUUAUGAUGAAUGAUGCUGGUUUUCUAUUUACAGCAGUGAUGCAUAGACACUUAAAUACACUUAAUUAAGUAGGAGAGUGGUCAUAAGUAUGAAUGUAGACUGGGCACAGCUCUGGCUGCCUGGGGAAGGAAACAUGAGGAUGACGAGGUGUGGGAAACACUGAAUGAAGGUGCUUCCCCAGGAGGCGUGGAGCAGCAGUUCCAGCCCUAGAGAAGGCUGGGAAGCACAAGAAUGUUGUGUGUUUUUGUUGUGGGUGCCUCAUCAAAGCACUUAACAAGAGUAAACUCUUCUUUGCGCCUGCGAUGGAUGUAAUUAUGUUCAGUUGGUUGGUUGAAAACCCAGCAUUUCCUACCUCCUAGCUGGAGGUCCUCCUCCUGACCUCCUCAACAAAACCUCCUCCUCUUGACCUCUUCAACCCAACAGCAAAGCUGUGGGCACCUCUAGUUGAAUGCUUUUGUUCCUGGAUUUGCAUAGAGUGGGUGCCAUAAAGAAGCAAAGGCAGUGGCUGCACUGAUGGUCCAUGGCGGCAGUGAUUUCCACGGCAGGACCCAGCAGAGGCAGCAGGGAUGUCUGGAUGGGGCUCUGACCUGAUUCAGGGGUUCAGACUCCCUUAGCAACAUCCCAUUUUCUAUGCAGAUUGCUCUCCUGGUUUCCUACUGUAUCGAUGGGCUAUGCAGCAUCAUUCCAAAACAGCCUCUUCCCUUUAUGGUAACCAGACUUGGUUUCUGUCUUUUACAAAUAAAAUCCCUAUUAGAAUGAGAUUAUUUGAUUGUCCAGAAACCCACUAGACAACCAAAUCCCUGAAGAGUAUAGUCUGUAUUUGCUUGUUCACAUGGCAUAAUUCCCCGGUUUCAAACAAAGUUGGUGCUUCCCUGGUGAAUCAGAUGGUAAAGAAUCUGCCCGCAAUGCAGGAGACCCAGGUUUGAUACCUGGGUUGGGAAGAUUCCCUGGAGUCAGGGAAUGCCUGGAGAAUCCCAGGGACUGAGGACCCUGGUGGGCUACAAUCCAUGGGGUCACAAAGAGUCAGACAAGACUGAGCGACUAAGCACACAAUAAUUAUUUGAUGAACGAAUGAGUGUUAAACAUAUAGGAGAUGCCAAUAACCAAUGUUGGAAAGUCAUGCUUUUACUUUCUCAAAACAUAUUAAGUGCAUCCUAUGACUUAAGAAAACCUAUCUAUGAAAAUUAAACUUCAAAGAUAAAUUAAUAUCUAAAUUGAAAGAACUCUUUAUUUAUAAAAUGAUUCACCCAAGAUUGCUUCUCUGAUUUUUUAAGUGUUGUUUUGUUUUCUAACUAUAAACUAUUAGAGGAGCUUAGCACAUAAAGGAAAAGUUUAAUUUUUGUGCAGUGAAUAUGCAAUGAUUUCAAAAUUAAAGGAAAUAAACUAUUGAAAAAUAACACUUUUAGAAUGGAUGGCAACCUGCGUGGCUCUACCUUGAAGAUCACAUGUGUCUGAAAUAGGAACCUCACUCACAGAAUUUUCAGAGAAGAGUAUGUGGCAUGGUAAAUUGCAAAGCUGUGCAUGCAGUUUACCAACAUCAUUAAGCUUCACCACAACCAAGGAGUUACCUAAUUUGUGGCCUUGUUCCAGAUGAAGAAACUGAGAUGCAGCAAAGAAACUAAUUUGCCUAACAAGCUCAAAGAGCUAAUGAAAAUCACACAGCUAAGGAGCUAGGAUUUAAACUUCAGCCUCACUCCAAGCUUAAAGUUUUAAGCACCAUGCUCUCCUUGUCCCCUAAGAGAUUUGU